rnacentral:lncRNA from 1 species
AAGCGUAACCAAGUAUAAUUUGCUAGAGCACUUAGAGUGUUUGAAGUGAUUUUGAAUUGCUACUGAUUUUCAUUCUAGCUUUUGAACCUUUUCUUCACGAAACCAUUCAAAGUGCUAAUAAGAAAAGUUGCUAUAAAUGUCAAACUCUAUAACUUUUAGUUUGACAAAAUCUUAAGUUUCUAUACAAAAUUUCAUGUUUCGAAUUUAAUGCAAAAUUGAGCUUUUAAGGGCAAAUUUGACUUUUCACUUGUUGGAUUAGUGUCUAAGGCUCCUAAUCAAGCGUAACCAAGUAUAAUUUGCUAGAGCACUUAGAGUUUUUGAAGUGAUUUUGAAUUGCUAGUGAUUUUGAUUCUAUCUUUUGAACCUCUUCCUCUCCAAACCAUUCAAAGUGCUAAUAGGAAUAGUUGCUGGAAAUGUAAAAAUCUACAACUUUUAGUUUGACAGAAUCUUAAGUUUCUAUACGAAAUUUCAAGUUUCGAAUUUAACCCAAAAUUGAGUUGUUGAGGGCAAAUUUGACUUUUCACUUGCUGGAUUAGUGUCUAAGCCUCCUAAUCAAGCGUAACCAAGUAUAAUUUGCUAAAGCACUUAGAGUUUUUGAAGUGAUUUUGAAUUGCUACUAAUUUUGAUUCUAGCUUUUGGACCUCUUCUUCUCCAAACCAUUCAAAGUGCUAAUACGAAAAGUUGUUAGAAAUGUAAAAAUUUACAACCUUUCGUUUGAUAGAAUCCUAAGUUUCUAUACGAAAUUUCAAGUUUCGAAUUUAACCCAAAAUUGAGUUGUUAAGGGCAAAUUUGACUUUUCUCUUGCUGGAUUUGUGUCUAAGCCUCCUAAUCAAGCGUAACCAAGUAUAAAUUGCUCGAGCACAUAGAGUGUUUGAAGUGAUUUUGAAUUGCUACUGAUUUUCAUUCUAGCUUUUGAACCUCUUACUCUCCAAACCAUUCAAAGUGCUAAUAGGAAUAAUUGCUAGAAAUGUAAAAAUCUACAACUUUUAGUUUGAUAGAAUCUUAAGUUUCUAUACGAAAUUUCAAGUUUCGAAUUUAACCCAAAAUUGAGCUUUUGAGGGCAAAUUUGACUUUUGACUUGCUGGAUUAGUGUCUAAGCCUCCUAAUCAAGCAUAACCAAGUAUAAUUUGCAAGAGAACUUAGAGUUUUUGAAGUGAUUUUGAAUUGCUACUGAUUUUCAUUCUAGCUUUUGAACCUCUUCCUCUCGAAACCAUCAAAAGUGCUAAUUAGAAAGGUUGCUAGUAAUGUAAAACUCUACAACUUUUAGUUUGACAAAAAUUUAGGUUUUUAUACAAAAUUUCAUGUUUUGAAUUUAACCAAAAAUUGAGGUUUCAAGGACAAAUUUGCGUUUCACUUGCUGGAUUAGUGUCUAAGCGUCCUAAUCAAGCGUAACCAAGUAUAAAUUGCUAGAGCACAUAGAGUGUUUGAAGUAAUUUUUAAUUGCUACUGAUUUUCAUUCUAGCUUUUGAACCUCUUACUCUCCAAACCAUUCAAAGUGCUAAUAGGAAUAAUUGCUAGAAAUGUAAAAAUCUACAACUUUUAGUUUGAUAGAAUCUUAAGUUUCUAUACGAAAUUUCAAGUUUCGAAUUUAACCCAAAAUUGAGCUUUUGAGGGCAAAUUUGACUUUUGACUUGCUGGAUUAGUGUCUAAGCCUCCUAAUCAUGCAUAACCAAGUAUAAUUUGCAAGAGAACUUAGAGUUUUUGAAGUGAUUUUGAAUUGCUACUGAUUUUCAUUCUAGCUUUUGAACCUCUUCCUCUCGAAACCAUCCAAAGUGCUAAUUAGAAAGGUUGCUAGAAAUGUAAAACUCUACAACUUUUAGUUUGACAAAAAUUUAGGUUUUUAUACAAAAUUUCAAGUUUUGAAUUUAACCCAAAAUUGAGCUUUCAAGGACAAAUUUGACGUUUCACUUGCUGGAUUAGUGUCUAAGCCUCCUAAUCAAGCGUAACCAAGUAUAAAUUGCUAGAGCACUUAGAGUGUUUGAAGUGAUUUUGAAUUGCUACUGAUUUUGAUUCUAGCUUUGAACCUCUUCCUCUUCAAACCAUUCAAAGUGCUAAUUAGAAAAGUUGCUAGAAAUGUAAAACUCUACAACUUUUCGUUUGACAAAAACUUAAGAUUCUAUACAAAAUUCCAUGUUUCGAAUUUAACCCAAAAUUGAGCUUUCAAGGGCAAAUUUGACUUUUCACUUGCUGGAUUAGUGUCUAAGCCUCCUAAUCAAGCGUAACCAAGUAUAAUUUGCUAGAGCACUUAGAGUGUUUGAAGUGAUUUUGAAUUGCUACUGAUUUUCAUUCUAGCUUUUGAACCUUUUCUUCACGAAACCAUUCAAAGUGCUAAUAAGAAAAGUUGCUAUAAAUGUCAAACUCUAUAACUUUUAGUUUGACAAAAUCUUAAGUUUCUAUACAAAAUUUCAUGUUUCGAAUUUAAUGCAAAAUUGAGCUUUUAAGGGCAAAUUUGACUUUUCACUUGUUGGAUUAGUGUCUAAGGCUCCUAAUCAAGCGUAACCAAGUAUAAUUGGCAAGAGCACUUAGAGUUUUUGAAGUAAUUUUGAAUUGCUACUGAUUUUGAUUCUAGCUUGUGAACCUCUUCCCCUCCAAACCAUUCAAAGUGCUAAUAAGAAAAGUUGCUAGAAAUGUAAAACUCUACAACUUUUCAUUUGACAGAAUCUUAAGUUUCUAUACGAAAUUUCAAGUUUUGAAUUUAACCCAAAAUUGAUUUGUUACGGGCAAAUUUGACUUUUCACUUACUAGAUUAGUGUCUAAGCCUCCUAAUCAAGCGUAACCAAGUAUAAUUUGCUAGAGCACUUAGAGUUUUUGAAGUUAUUUUGAAUUGCUACUGAUUUUGAUUCUAGCUUGUGAACCUCUUCCUCUCCAAACCAUUCAAUGUGAGAAAAGUUGCUAGAAAUGUAAAACUCUACAACUUUUAGUUUGACAAAAACUUAGGUUUCUAUAAAAAAUUUCAUGUUUUGAAUCUAACCUAAAAUUGAGCUUUUAAGGGCAAAUUUGACUUUUCAUUUGCUGGAUUAGUGUCUAAGCCUCCUAAUCAAGCGUAGCCAAGUAUAAUUUGCUAGAGCACUUAGAGUUUUUGAAGUGAUUUUGAAUUGCUACUUAUUUUGAUUCUAGCUUUUG